rnacentral:rRNA from 1 species
UACGUAGGUGGCGAGCGUUGUCCGGAUUUACUGGGCGUAAAGAGCGCGCAGGCGGUCGUUCAAGUCGCGUGUGAAAGCCCCCGGCUCAACUGGGGAGGGUCACGCGAUACUGAUCGACUCGAAGGCAGGAGAGGGAAGUGGAAUUCCCGGUGUAGUGGUGAAAUGCGUAGAUAUCGGGAGGAACACCAGAGGCGAAGGCGGCGACCUGGACAAGUACUGACACUCAACUACGAAAGCGUGGGGAGCAAACAGG